rnacentral:lncRNA from 1 species
AAGAAAAAUAAAUAAAACUUUUGAAUAUAAAGAGAAAUGACUAUCUUCGGGAAUUUAAUUAAGUUAAACCAAAGUGAAAAUAAAUUGUUAGUUAAUUCAAUGAAAUAAAUAAAGAGGAAAAGGGAGAGAAUAUUGAACUUGGGCUUUUUGCCCAAAUUCGAAAUUGGGCUUGCCAACACUUUUAUCCAUGUCCUAUUAUCUAAAGUUUGUCAAUAAUGAUGGGUUUUGGCCCAUCUCAUCAAAAAUCAGCUCCUUAUCAUUUUUGGGUCUGCUGUAAUUUCAUUGGGCUUUGGCCCAUUUUUUGCUACCUGGACCUGCUGGCAACAAAGAUCUUGGGCUUGAAGCCCAUUUUUGAGUUUCCCAGAAUUGUAUACAUUUGUAUACUGAUGUAUAUCAGCCCCUGUUCUUGUAUAUUAUACGUAUACAGACGUAUGCAAUCCAUUUUUUCAGCAUGUGUUUCAUCCCGAUUUUGACCUGUUCAUCGAUUCUAAAGGCUGGCCGACUCGAAGGAAAGGGUUUGAGCCUUUAUGGAUCUCUUGAAAUGCAGGGAAAGAAAAAUAGGAGUUCAUGGCGAACUCGAACAGAUUUCACAUGCCACGAAAAUGAUGAUAAGAAUUAGCCAAGGAAAAGUGACAUGGAAUAAAUAAUAAACUUGAUGAAAGGACAAAUAAAAAUAAAAUGAAGCUAUUAUUUAACUACUCGAACUAGUCAAAACAAAGAAGACUAUGCAUAUACGAACAAUACAACACUCAUAAUAAGUUUCACUCAUAACAUACAGUGGCUAUGAAACAAAAAAAAAACAUGCUACCUUUUUGAACAAAUGGGACAAAUAAAAUUUAUAAAUGAGACCAUCUACAGAGGUGAGUCUCCCAAACAAACAUAACAAAAAGAAGUGAGCAGCCAUGACUUAAACUCAAACAACGACUCAAUCUAAAUAUUAACAUUAUCGGGAAGUUUCUUACGACUAACUUUAAGCCCUUUUAAGGAAUAAAAUGACCAGGGCACAUGAAAUCUGAAAAAUCAUGCUAAGAACACUUUGAUCAAACUUUUAUCAAACUCGUUCACACUAUAUGAAACGCAUGCAGCUGAGCAGGGACAAUUUUGAAAACAAAAAUCCAUGCUCAAAAUAACUAGGUUGCAUUAGGGAAAAUCACACAACUACACUAAACACAAAAGGUCAAUUUUAGUUUCAAAAGAAAGAGCAAAAACAGGAUAUUAAGAGCUAAAAUGAAACCUGAAUAUAAAACACCACACCUUAUCAAAGCUAUAAUCACAUCUCCCAAAUCAGAUUUGCAAUAAUCGAAACAAGAAAAUAAAGUAUAGGCAACACAAUCAGUUGUUAACAUGUAGAACAACAAGAUUACUUAAAACUAGCACUAAUCACACUCUUAUACAAAUAAAAUCAGUAAGGGAACCAUCAUAAGCGACCGCUCAAAUAUCAUCAGAACUAUAAUCAAAUCUGUAGAGAAAAGAAGAGUGAUACAUAAAGAAAACAAGUUGAACAACCCAUAUUUGUCUAAAAAAAAUACGAAAACAGAGAAUAUGACGAGUAUUCAAUGUACUCCACAUAGAAAGCAUCGCAUUAAACUAAAUCCGAACAUGAUAACAUGAAUAUAUCUAGCAAUUAGAGGGAGGACUAUCAUCAAUCAACCCAUAUUCAAGCAUAAUCUAAGUGACAUGAACAUUCAAGGAACAUAAAAGUCGAGAAGAAAGAAAUGAAACGAAAACGAGAUAGGGACAAGGUUGUUACCUUUUCCUAGGCAACGGACUGGGACCAAAACAAACGGAGGAGUAGCGACUUCACCACGAAUGGAAAUCAAAUAGAGCUACUAUGAAGAAUCUCCGAUGCAAGCUUCGAAACAAAUUUCUAGGACUCGGAAUUUCUAGAUUUAACAACUAUAGCUAUCCCUUUCUUCUUACAAAUAUAUUCUUGUAUGUAGUCUUUAGCUACUGGAAAACCGAAAAAUCUAAAGGAAGUCGAAAACCAAAACUCGAACCUAUUUCGUAUUUGGUUUCUAUAGCUAUUUCUUACUAAGUAUUUCUCUCUGUAUCAACUGAAAUCCCAAUUUUUUUCCCAAUCUUUUCCAACUCUCUUACUGAAGGUAAAUGAGGGGUUUAAAUACAGGGGAAAAUAGGGUUCGAUUUAGAGGGGAAAACGGGCAGAUUUGGAUAAGAUUUUAUGAAUUCGAAAUUCGAAAAUCUCUUAACAGAUAAGGUUGGAGCUGGAAUUAGUACAAAUCUCCAACGGAAAACAAUUUUGGGCGCUUGAUUUUCGAGCAAGGACGAGUGAGUUGCGGAGAUGGAGACACAUAAUGAUUCUCCAAAGAUUUUGGUACGAACGAUAAGGAGAGAGGAGGAGGAGGAGGAUGCGCGAGAGCUGGGCUCAAUUUUCUGCUGGACUUGCAAUUCUGGACUGCUUAUGGGUCGCGAUUGCUGCUGAUUUGGGUUGCUGAGUUUCUGGGUUUGUUCGCUGGGAAGAAGAACAAGUUACACGGGUGGGGUAGCGUACUGUUUGCUGUUGUGUUGUUGUGUAUGUGUUUGUUUGGUAUUGUAAUUGGAAUGAGCUUCUUUAGUAUUGUAAUUACGCUUGGA